AAUUGAAGAGUUUGAUCCUGGCUCAGAUUGAACGCUGGCGGCAUGGCUAAAACAUGCAAGUCGAGCGCGAAAGGGGCUUCGGCCCCGAGUAGAGCGGCGAAAGGGCGAGGAAUAUAUUCUUCACGUACCCCGAGGUCGAGGAUAGCCCAGGGAAACUUGGAUUAAUACUCGAUGUGGUCCUUCGGGAUUAAAGGCUUGCUGCCUCGGGAGCGGAGAAUAUCCUAUCAGGUUGUUGGUGAGGUAACGGCUCACCAAGCCGAAGACGGGUAGCGGGUGUGAGAGCAUGACCCGCCGCAUCGGGACUGAGACACUGCCCGGACUCCUACGGGAGGCUGCAGUAACGAAUCUUCCGCAAUGCACGAAAGUGUGACGGAGCAAUGCCGCGUGUGGGAUGA
rnacentral:rRNA from 1 species